rnacentral:rRNA from 1 species
UGCUUCGGUAACUGACCUAGCGGCGGACGGGUGAGUAAUACUUAGGAAUCUGCCUAUUAAUGGGGGACAACAUCUCGAAAGGGAUGCUAAUACCGCAUACGCCCUACGGGGGAAAGCAGGGGAUCACUUGUGACCUUGCGUUAAUAGAUGAGCCUAAGUCGGAUUAGCUAGUUGGUGGGGUAAAGGCCUACCAAGGCGACGAUCUGUAGCGGGUCUGAGAGGAUGAUCCGCCACACUGGGACUGAGACACGGCCCAGACUCCUACGGGAGGCAGCAGUGGGGAAUAUUGGACAAUGGGGGGAACCCUGAUCCAGCCAUGCCGCGUGUGUGGAGAAGGCCUUAUGGUUGUAAAGCACUUUAAGCGAGGAGGAGGCUCUCUUGGUUAAUACCCAAGAUGAGUGGACGUUACUCGCAGAAUAAGCACCGGCUAACUCUGUGCCAGCAGCCGCGGUAAUACAGAGGGUGCGAGCGUUAAUCGGAUUUACUGGGCGUAAAGCGUGCGUAGGCGGCUUUUUAAGUCGGAUGUGAAAUCCCCGAGCUUAACUUGGGAAUUGCAUUCGAUACUGGGAAGCUAGAGUAUGGGAGAGGAUGGUAGAAUUCCAGGUGUAGCGGUGAAAUGCGUAGAGAUCUGGAGGAAUACCGAUGGCGAAGGCAGCCAUCUGGCCUAAUACUGACGCUGAGGUACGAAAGCAUGGGGAGCAAACAGGAUUAGAUACCCUGGUAGUCCAUGCCGUAAACGAUGUCUACUAGCCGUUGGGGCCUUUGAGGCUUUAGUGGCGCAGCUAACGCGAUAAGUAGACCGCCUGGGGAGUACGGUCGCAAGACUAAAACUCAAAUGAAUUGACGGGGGCCCGCACAAGCGGUGGAGCAUGUGGUUUAAUUCGAUGCAACGCGAAGAACCUUACCUGGUCUUGACAUAGUAAGAACUUUCCAGAGAUGGAUUGGUGCCUUCGGGAACUUACAUACAGGUGCUGCAUGGCUGUCGUCAGCUCGUGUCGUGAGAUGUUGGGUUAAGUCCCGCAACGAGCGCAACCCUUUUCCUUAUUUGCCAGCACUUCGGGUGGGAACUUUAAGGAUACUGCCAGUGACAAACUGGAGGAAGGCGGGGACGACGUCAAGUCAUCAUGGCCCUUACGACCAGGGCUACACACGCGCUACAAUGGUCGGUACAAAGGGUUGCUACCUAGCGAUAGGAUGCUAAUCUCAAAAAGCCGAUCGUAGUCCGGAUUGGAGUCUGCAACUC